rnacentral:rRNA from 1 species
GACGAACGCUGGCGGCGUGCCUAAUACAUGCAAGUCGAGCGAAUCUUUCGGAACUUGUUCCGGAAGAUUAGCGGCGGACGGGUGAGUAACACGUGGGCAACCUGCCUGUAAGACUGGGAUAACACCGGGAAACCGGUGCUAAUACCGGAUAAUUCUUUCCCUCUCAUGAAGGAAAGUUGAAAGUCGGUUUCGGCUGACACUUACAGAUGGGCCCGCGGCGCAUUAGCUAGUUGGUGAGGUAACGGCUCACCAAGGCGACGAUGCGUAGCCGACCUGAGAGGGUGAUCGGCCACACUGGGACUGAGACACGGCCCAGACUCCUACGGGAGGCAGCAGUAGGGAAUCUUCCGCAAUGGACGAAAGUCUGACGGAGCAACGCCGCGUGAGCGAAGAAGGUUUUCGGAUCGUAAAGCUCUGUUGUCAGGGAAGAGCAAGUGCGAGAGUAACUGCUCGCACCUUGACGGUACCUGACCAGAAAGCCACGGCUAACUACGUGCCAGCCGCCGCGGUAAGAC